rnacentral:lncRNA from 1 species
GUGAGAUGCAACUAGGCACAGCUGGACCACCUGGCUUGCCCAUGGAUGUUUCAAUGACAAGCACAGCUGAAACCUGACAUGUGUUGCUGAUAGUGCUUCAAGAAUGCUUCAAGAAUAAUGAAGAGACUGUACAACUUAUAAAGCAAGAAGAAAAUAUGGGUGGGAACUUGUGAACAAGCUUUGGUGAGAUCCCCACAGGAUAUUACACACUGCAAUCUGGCAACAGCGUACAUCUCUAACAUGAAACAAAAGGAAAUGCUCUGAAAACUUUUGAUUUUCUAAUUUCUAUAUCCAGAAGACAAUUUCAUCAUUUAUAUUGUCGACUUUUCCAAUGAAUCUGGCAAUGUUCAAGAUGUUCAUUCUGUACACCUGGAAACCUUGCCAAACAGACAAACAUCCCAGAGGUUCAAAAAAGUUGAGGACUAACAAUAAUCACUGGUGCUGAGCCGAUUCCAGCAUCUCCUGAAUGGGUCCGCUGAAGUCUGGAUUUGGUGGGCAGAUUCUGGAGCGAGGUUCUGGGUGCUGCUGGUGCUGCUGGCUGCAAGGGACAAAUGAGCUGACCCCUCGAACAGACGACCCGAAAGAUUGCACAGGACUCUGACCCCUACAAGACGGCCUGGAACAUGCAGGCCUUGCUCAGCAACAGUAGUCAGCACUGGAGCAUGCUUCAGAACCUAAAUAGCUGAUGGAGAAAUACUCAGCUCUUCCUUAUGAAUAAUAGUCGUGCUUCACAACCAGGCCUUGCCAUCUGCUGUGAUCUUUUAUAACCUGUGUUCUACUCUAUUCUCAGUUACCAGAUGGUGGGUUCCAGUUUUGUAGAAAAUCCACAUUUACAUUCUUUUUACCUUUUCCAUUCUCUUUUCCCUCACAGAUACCUACACUUAGCCUUUGCCUCUCUCAGUUGUCUUGUAACCAGGAGAGCAUUUGUGGGCAAAAAGAAGAGAAAUUAUAGACAGUGACCUAAAUUCUAAUAAUAACCUCAUCACUAGCAAACUGCAAUUUUAGUUAGUUCAUUGAAAUUCUCUGGGUUUGACUGACAACAUGGUAAUAAAAACGCUUCUACAUGCCUGUGUGUUGGGUCCUAUCCUUAGAGCUUUUCAUGUCUGUUUUAAUUUUCAUACUAAUCCCACU